UUACCGCGGCUGCUGGCACGGAGUUAGCCGGGGCUUCUUCUGCUGGUACCGUCAUUAUCUUCCCAGCUGAAAGAGCUUUACAACCCUAAGGCCUUCAUCGCUCACGCGGCAUGGCUAGAUCAGGGUUUCCCCCAUUGUCUAAGAUUCCCCACUGCUGCCUCCCGUAGGAGUCUGGGCCGUGUCUCAGUCCCAGUGUGGCUGAUCAUCCUCUCAAACCAGCUAUGGAUCGUCGGCUUGGUAGGCCAUUACCCCACCAACUACCUAAUCCAACGCGGGCCGAUCCUUCUCCGAUAAAUCUUUCCUCCGAAGAGCGUAUACGGUAUUACUCCCAGUUUCCCGAGGCUAUUCCGUAGAAAAGGGCACGUUCCCACGCGUUACUCACCCGUCCGCCGCUAGGACCGAAGUCCUCGCUCGACUUGCAUGUGUUAGGCCUGCCGCCAGCGUUCGUUCUGAGCCAGGAUCAAACUC
rnacentral:rRNA from 1 species